UUCUUCUAAACUACGCGAGAGGCUGGGCCAUAACCUUUAAACAUUUUAAAACUUUCAACAACGGAUCUCUUGGCUCUCGCUCGAUGAAGAACGCAGCGAAAUGCGAUAAGUAAUGUGAAUUGCAGAAUUCAGUGAAUCAUCGAAUCUUUGAACGCACAUUGCGCCCUUUGGCAUUCCAUAGGGCAUGCCUGUUCGAGCGUCACUAACAACCCCAUCACAAAGAGUGUGGUAUUGGCAGAAGUGGGUAGGGCUGGCAGUGCUGGCCCCACUCUGCUGGAAUGAAUAGGCCGGAAAUGUAACCAUGGGACAGACUUUCAGAGUAUCUCGUAAUGCUAAAUUAGUUUGUAGGCCGGUCAGAAUCCAGGCCGUUGGACCCCCAUUAUGUGUAAAGCAGUAAUGUUGACCUCGGAUCAGGUAGGGAUACCCGCUGAACUUAAGGGGGGGAAACCGGAACUUUAACAUCAUAUUUUUUAAAAUCCCCGGUCCCGUUUCUGCCA
rnacentral:rRNA from 1 species